CCUACGGGGGGCAGCAGUGAGGAAUAUUGGUCAAUGGACGAGAGUCUGAACCAGCCAAGUAGCGUGAAGGAUGACUGCCCUAUGGGUUGUAAACUUCUUUUAUAUGGGAAUAAAAUGUUCCACGUGUGGGAUUUUGUAUGUACCAUAUGAAUAAGGAUCGGCUAACUCCGUGCCAGCAGCCGCGGUAAUACGGGGGAUCCGAGCGUUAUCCGGAUUUAUUGGGUUUAAAGGGAGCGUAGGUGGAUUGUUAAGUCAGUUGUGAAAGUUUGCGGCUCAACCGUAAAAUUGCAGUUGAAACUGGCAGUCUUGAGUACAGUAGAGGUGGGCGGAAUUCGUGGUGUAGCGGUGAAAUGCUUAGAUAUCACGAAGAACUCCGAUUGCGAAGGCAGUUCACUGGACUGCAACUGACACUGAGGCUCGAAAGUGUGGGUAUCAAACAGGAUUAGAGACCCCAGUAGUC
rnacentral:rRNA from 1 species